AGCACCCAUUUAUAACUUUUUUUGAAUUCUUUCAUUUUCACUCCCUCACUCUCACGUCUCCUCUUCAAAGAAAAAAUAUCUCUUUCUCUAUAACCUGAAAAUUACAAUCCUUUUUGUUUUAAGUUUUAGGCCGUCGACCACCAUCCGUCGCCGGUCAACUACCCAGAAUUUAAUCAAACUUUAUCUAAAGUUUUAUCUCCAACUCCUCUUUCCAUUUCUUUGAUUAGUUUUUCCUGAAAGCCCCACCAAAAUUCAUAGAUUUACACAUGCAAUUGACCACCAUUUCCUUACCUUUCUUUCUCUCCACAAAAAUUAAAGCCCCAAAUGAUACUGAAUCACUCCCACCAAAAAGCAAAGUCUGAAACAGCAAACAACCAAAAUCACCAAUGGGCAAGGAUGGAAAAGGUCACCACACUUGAAAAGAAGAUAGGAUGAUGAAUUUCGGCUUUCGCAAGGGCGUUGAGUAGGUUGUUAGAUUCACAAAAUACUACCAUUAUCUCGUUAAAGUAGUUGGCGGAGGGGGAGGGGGAGGGGAAUACGCAUUAUUUGAUGAUAAUGUUGAAUGGAUAAGGGAGACAUUUACAUCACAUUUGGUUGGGUGAAGAAAUAGUUAUCUAAUAAUGGAAUAGAGUUGUAAUUAGUUUCGAUUGUUUGGUUUAAUGAAAUAGAAUAGAGUUGUAAUAGUAGGUUUAAAUGAUCAAAGUACUAUUAAUAGAAUUUUUUUUAGGUAGAU
rnacentral:lncRNA from 1 species